rnacentral:lncRNA from 1 species
GGACUUGGAGUUGAAAUAGAGUCUCUUUGCCUUGAAUCAGAUUUUACUAGUUACACUGGGGAUCCAGUGAUGAAGAAUUUAGUGAAGAUUUGAAAGAGAAGAUUCCAUUUCGGUCAAGCAGGGUCACAUGUACUAGCCUCAUGGUCUCCUUCUACACCUAUUACUGUGGAGUUCACUGGGAAUCGCAGUUCUACUAGGACAUGUCCAGAAAACUGAGGUGGACUAGGAAGCCUGGCAGAUCACAAUUAUAGUGUAUCCUGUAUUAUUUUCAUUAAUGACAGAUCAAACUGAUAUUUUAAAAGUUUUUUUACCAUCACCUCUUCAAAAAACACAGUCUUUGGAGCUGAGUGUUCCUGAAUAG